GUUGAUCGCGUCGGAGUGUAUCUGGGGCGUGCCCUGAGCGUGCUUUCGAUACGGGUUGACUUGAGGAAGGUAGGGGAGAAUGGAAUUCCUGGUGGAGCGGUGGAAUGCGCAGAUAUCAGGAGGAACACCAGUGGCGAAGGCGGUUCUCUGGGCCUUUCCUGACGCUGAGGAGCGAAAGCGUGGGGAGCGAACAGGCUUAGAUACCCUGGUAGUCCACGCUGUAAACGGUGGGUACUAGGUGUGGGGUCCAUUCCACGGGUUCCGUGCCGUAGCUAACGCUUUAAGUACCCCGCCUGGGGAGUACGGCCGCAAGGCUAAAACUCAAAGGAAUUGACGGGGCCCCGCACAAGCGGCGGAGCAUGCGGAUUAAUUCGAUGCAACGCGUAGAACCUUACCUGGGUUUGACAUGGAUCGGGAGUGCUCAGAGAUGGGUGUGCCUCUUUUGGGGUCGGUUCACAGGUGGUGCAUGGCUGUCGUCAGCUCGUGUCGUGAGAUGUUGGGUUAAGUCCCGCAACGAGCGCAACCCUUGUUCACUGUUGCCAGCACGUUAUGGUGGGGACUCAGUGGAGACCGCCGGGGUCAACUCGGAGGAAGGUGGGGAUGACGUCAAGUCAUCAUGCCCCUUAUGUCCAGGGCUUCACGCAUGCUACAAUGGCUGGUACAGAGAGUGGCGAGCCUGUGAGGGUGAGCGAAUCUCGGAAAGCCGGUCUCAGUUCGGAUUGGGGUCUGCAACUCGACCUCAUGAAGUCGGAGUCGCUAGUAAUCGCAGAUCAGCAACGCUGCGGUGAAUACGUUCCCGGGGGCUUGUACACACCGCCCGUCAAGUCAUGAAAGUUGGUAACACCC
rnacentral:rRNA from 1 species